CAAGGGCCGUGCUGCCGGCAUAGCAGUGAAUGAGAACGGCAAAGGCCUCAUCACAGAAAAUGUCAUCCGUGAGAAUCAGUGGGGAGGUGUGGACAUCCGCCGUGGAGGGAUCCCCGUUCUCAGGAGUAACCUCAUCUGCUUUGGCUAUUCAGAUGGUGUGGUUGUGGGAGACGAAGGCAAAGGCCUCAUAGAAGGAAAUACCAUCUACGAGAACGGAAAAUAUAAUGGGAAAACAAGAUAAUCACAGGAAGAAAACUCUUCUCACUCACGCAGUGACUUUGGGCAGAGCCUUCAUCUGUCUGGACUCUAUCUCUAAUAAUACAGUGAUAAUAAUAAAGAUGACUCAGGCCC
rnacentral:lncRNA from 10 species